rnacentral:rRNA from 1 species
CAGUAGCCACGGUAAUACGGAGGGUGCAAGCGUUAAUCGGAAUUACUGGGCGUAAAGCGCACGCAGGCGGUCUGUCAAGUCGGAUGUGAAAUCCCCGGGCUCAACCUGGGAACUGCAUUCGAAACUGGCAGGCUAGAGUCUUGUAGAGGGGGGUAGAAUUCCAGGUGUAGCGGUGAAAUGCGUAGAGAUCUGGAGGAAUACCGGUGGCGAAGGCGGCCCCCUGGACAAAGACUGACGCUCAGGUGCGAAAGCGUGGGGAGCAAACAGGAUUAGAUACCCCGGUAGUCCCUGUCUCUUAUAC